GACGAACGCUGGCGGCGUGCCUAAUACAUGCCAGUAGAACGCACAGUUUAUACCGUAGCUUGCUACACCAUAGACUGUGAGUUGCGAACGGGUGAGUAACGCGUAGGUAACCUGCCUGGUAGCGGGGGAUAACUAUUGGAAACGAUAGCUAAUACCGCAUAAUAUUAAUUAUUGCAUGAUAAUUAAUUGAAAGGUGCAAUUGCACCACUACCAGAUGGACCUGCGUUGUAUUAGCUAGUAGGUGAGGUAACGGCUCACCUAGGCGACGAUACAUAGCCGACCUGAGAGGGUGAACGGCCACACUGGGACUGGGACACGGCCCAGACUCCUACGGGAGGCAGCAGUAGGGAAUCUUCGGCAAUGGACGAAAGUCUGACCGAGCAACGCCGCGUGAGUGAAGAAGGUUUUCGGAUCGUAAAGCUCUGUUGUAAGAGAAGAACGGGUGUGAGAGUGGAAAGUUCACACUGUGACGGUAUCUUACCAGAAAGGGACGGCUAACUACGU
rnacentral:rRNA from 1 species